rnacentral:lncRNA from 1 species
UUCUUUGUAUCAAAAGAUUGAAGAAAGCAGAAACAGAGAAUAAAAAAAAGUUUUGAAGGUAUUGAGAUUGGUUCCGUUUUUCCUUUCUCUUUACUGUUUUGUACCUUUUUUUUAUUUUCUUCCUUGUUUUUAAAAACAAAUAAACGAAAGAACGAGGGAAAAGGAGAAGUUUCUUACCGGCAGAGGCGCGCCGUCGGCAUUCUUGCUGACUUCGGCGUGAGGAGCAAGAGGGGGCUUGGACCUUGCGGCUGUUGUGAUUGCAAAUUGAAUAGGGUGUUCAUUU